rnacentral:SRP_RNA from 1 species
ACUGGGCACAGUAGUGCAUGCCUGUAGUCCCAGCUACUCGGGAGGCUGAGGUGGGAGGAUGCUUGAGCCUAGGAGUUCUGGGAUGUAGUGCGCUAUGCCGAUGUGUCCGCACUAAGUUUGGCAUCAAUAUGGUGACCUCCCGGGAAGGAUGAACCAGCCCAGGUUGGAAACAGAGCAGGUCAGAACUUCCGUACUGAUCAGUAGUGGGGCUGUGUCUGUGAAUAGCCACUGCACUCCAGCCUGGGCAACAUAGCGAGACCCUGUCUCU